UCUGUUUGAGGGUAAAUACCAGCAUGUGUCCCGCAGCGUAAAUAGAGGAACUACUGUUAACAACAACCCAGAAUUAGAGCCGCCGCCGCCGUCGUAGCAGCUAUGAAAUAUCCUGCAGUGCUCGGCAGCUCCGUCUGUCAUCAUAGCUCAUUACGGAGAAAUCCAAACAGUCAAGUACCCGAUGUUUGGGUGUUUUUACGCCACCAGUCUUGGCCUCGCAGAUGUGCGAGCGGCCGGUUGCAUGCAAAAUGACAUAACGUUGACAGCACAUGCACCACGCUGGUGUGUUUGGGGAGUGUUGUUGCACUGAAGCGGAUUACGCUCAUUUUCCAUGCUGCUCAUCCCUGUGAUGUAUUACCCGGCUAAUUCAGCUGAUUAUGAAGCCUUGUUUAAUGUAUUUAAUCAGCGGCUUAAGAUGAGUCUGAUUCCACUUUGCGACUCUUGUUGUGCGGUUUUUUGCUGAGGAGCGGCUUUGAAGUGGAAAAGCCUUCCGUCCCUGGGUGCACCUUGCAGGGGCGGCGGCUUUACUGAUGACAAAAGACAAACAGGAGGUAAACACGCAGUGAUUUACUGUUUCAUUAAGGCUUCAUUACGCAUGGACCCGGAGGAAGGACGGCCCGUUUGAGUCUGGACGCUGAACUGAGAGGAUGACGCUCGCUGCCUCCAGGAGGACGAGGACGAACCUUUUAUAUCCAACAAGAUCAAAGCUUUGAGAGUUUUAACUGACCUCCACGUCGACGGGAGAAUGUGGGGAUGUGAGUCUUUCCCUGGAUUAACGUGAUUGGAUUUGACUUAUUUGUGACUGAAGAAGAAAGAAAAAAAAGCAGGGAGGAGGCCACUAAACAUGUGGAGGUCCAGGGUCCUGGUGCAGGUCCACAUGAAACCGUUCAUUUAUUCUGACGGGACUUCAGGUUUAUUUGGUUGUUCAGUUAUUUAGGAUAAAGGAAGAAAUGAAAUGAAGCUUGAUGUUAGUGUUAGAAAACGUCCAAGAUGUGUCCAUCAGCCACCUGAUAGCUUAAAUACUGACAUGUAAAAUUGUAAAUUGGUCACAACUGCACACAGUUUUUACACAUUAAUACAAGUUAAAACAGUCUUGUACACAUCAAUUCUUCCUUCUCCUUUCCACAGUUGAUUCUGUUGAUUUUGUUGGUGUUUUAUGUUGAUGUCUGUGUAUGUUUGUAGCUACUGGACGCUCAACUUUCCCCCUGAGGAUGAAUAAAGUAUUUUUCUAUUCUA